rnacentral:lncRNA from 1 species
AUGUCAAAAUUAAUAAUGUCACACAUAUACCAAGGAGAGGGGAAGAAACUAAGAAAACAGGAAGAGAGAAAGCAGUGGAGGUGUCUGGGGAAGAGAGGUGGAGAAAAGAUGGAGAGGAGAGAAGGACAACAAGAGAGGAGUCAGAACACAGAGGAAAACAUUCCUGAGGCCAAAAACAGCUUCUUGCGUCACUCACAGAUUCAGAGCCUGGGUCUGCACAGAGUUGAUUCCGGGACAGAGGAGCGAUGGGAGCCGUGGGCUGUCCGUGUACAUUUGACAAGAGUUGUUUGUAGGGACAAAAGGGAAAUAAAUUGAGGGAAAGGGAAAAAAAAAAAAAGAGUGAGAAAGGAACUGCUCUAAGUAUCCUGAAAUGUUCUCAGAUGAUGUUUGUUUUUAAAGUUGCUUUUAGGGACAAACCUUUAAGUCCUCUUAAAUGAGAGAUUUAUAUUCAUUUAGGUCCUUUUCUUGGGAUUUUUGAAAGAGGAAAGGACCAAAUUGUUCAGUGAGAAACUCAACAUACUUUUUGAUCCAACUAUACUCAUGUAUGUGAAAGGGGAAAGGGAGGGAAGAAGAGAGAGGAUGUGUUCACUAAAGCCCUCUACGGGUAUUUUCAUUAUUCCCACUUUGCAGAUGGCAAAACUGAGGUUCUAGUGUUAGAUAAUGAAGCUUACCCAACUAAUUAGUGUUGAAUCCUGGUUUUGAACUUAGAAAUACUUGACUCUGAAGUGUGUAAUUUCAUUUUUCUCUAGUAGAUCAGUAUACAGGUGCACUCCAACUUUUAAAGCACAUAUGUACAUCUGAAAAUUGAACUAUGAGGUACCAAAGUAUAUAGGGCUGGACUGAAGCCAAGGACAUAAUAAGACUGGAGAUGAUGCUGCAUGUGUACAGAGGAGACAUUAUUAGAACUUCUGAUUCUACUCCCAGUUACAAAAAAAAAAAAGAACUGAACAAAGAGAGCCCUUGCUAUUUCUUUUUUUUUUUUUUAAACAAUUAGAACAAAGAAGGAACUAAAAUCAAAGGUCCAUUUCUGUGUAUUGAUGUUAAAAUCCCAGAAUUCCUGUCUAGAGCAUUGCUGUGGCUAGUUUUCCAUCUUGCAGUGCUUCAUGUGCGAAUUCUGGCCCUUGAUGUGGAGAUGGCCUGGGAUGAUUGCCGUAUGGAAUGUUCCUGAACAUCUGCUCGAGGAGGUGUGGGCUUAAACAAAUGAAUAUGAUGAGAAGCAGUCUGGCAGAACAGACAGAGACCAGGGCUGUGUGACCUUGAGUCAUUCAAAACCUCAUAAUCUUGUUGUCCUUCUUGGUAACAUGUGGUGGAGGUUAAACUAGAUAAUUUCUAAGACUCCUUCCAUAGCUAAGAUUCCAUAGCUUAAAAUAAAUCCCAAAGGAGCAAAAGUACGUAUGUGACCAAAAUCCCUGUCCCUGAGAAGUCUGUAUCACUAAGAAUGUUAUCUCCUUGAGGACUGGGAACUUCCAGCUAGGUCCCCCUCUAUCCAUCUUACAAGCAGCAGGCACGUAAUAAACACUGCAUGCUGUGUAUUGCCCAAUUGGUUUCUUGUCGGACAGAUUUGACCUAGAGUUCCUCCAAAGAGGCCCCACUUUGACCCUUGUGGCACACAAAUAGCCAGUAACUGGGAGAAAACAUCCACCAGCUGGACAUUUAAAAACUCCAAGUAACAAACUGGUGAUCUCAGCCUGGCUCUGGUGACUGUGUCAUAAAAUCAUGAAAACUUGUCAACAAACACAGCAGAGACAAAGGAGGGCACGGAUUGAAGGAUCAUAUAACCUAAUCACUCUUCUUUCCCAAAUUCUUGAAAGGGGAUGAAAAGCUGGGAGGGAACUGGUAACAGACAUUCCAGGUACAGAGUUCCAGGUGUAGAUAAAGGCAGAGAUGAGAACCUAUUGAGGAUCUGGACGUGGGAGAGAACUUGAAAGCAAAGCCCCAUCCAAGAGUGACUAGAUAGAAUGAAGCUCUUUAGGUUAGUUUCUUUUCUUUUUGGAAAGAUUAUUCCUUUUUAAAAUUUGGGGUUGUGCUGGGUGUUCAUUGCUGUCCCAGAGAGUGGGGGCUCCUCUCUAGCUGUGGUGUGCAGGCUCCUCAUUGCAGCGACUUCUCUUGUGGCAGAGCAUGGGCUCUAGGCGCACGGGCUUCAGUAGUUGCAGUGCAGACUCAAUUGUUGCGGCUCCGGGCUUCUAGAGUGCAGGCUCAGUAGCUGUGGCAGGCGGGCUUCUUUGCUCCACACGCAGUGUGUGAAAUCUUCCCGAACAAGGGACAGAAUUUGUAUCACCUGCACUGGCACGCAGAUUCUUAUCCACUGUACCACCAGGAAAGUCCUCUAAGCCAAUUUCUGAUUGGUCAGGAAACAGAGUCCCUACCCUGUUUUCCAAGCAGCAGGUAAAAUACCAAGAGCCUCAAUUUUCUACAUAUUUUAAAAUAUAGGAAAGUGAUGUGAGCUAAGCAUGGUAAAAACAACUGAUUCACUCUUUUGCUUCAUGGAGGUCUCCGCUCAAAGGGCCUCUCAUCACAGACUAUCCUUCAUCAAUCUGUUUCUCCAUCCCUUUUGUAAGUUUGCUUACUACUGCCUGAUUUUAAGGAGAAGGCAAUGGCACCCCACUCCAGUACUCUUGCCUGGAAAAUCCUAUGGAUGGAGGAGCCUGGUGGGCUGCCGUCUAUGGGGUUGCACAGAGUCUGACACGACUGAAGCAACUUAGCAGCAGCAGCAGCAGCCUGAUUUUAUUUUUCCUAGCCCUUGGGCUUACUUGUUUACUAUGUGUCUCAACUAGAAUGAAAGCUUCAGAAAGGCCAGAACGUUGUUUUGUUCACUGCUACAUCCCAGAGCCAAGAGCAAUAAUCAAUGUUUAGGAAAGUAGUGGUGAAUGAAUGAAUGAGUUUAUCAAGCCACUGCUUAUCACAGUCUGGAUGAUCCAGACCAUUUUUCUGUGAGGGUUAGCUCCUGAGACCUACACUUCAAAAGGUUUAAUUUCUUGGUACCUUAAACCUCUCCAUGAAAAUCUACACAGAAACACAAGGACAACCUCUGGGUUAGCUCACCCAGCUGUGACACUUCCGCAUUGUAUGUAGAUAUAUGCGAGAGGCACCCUGAAGUCACCCAUCCUGGGGUUCUUUUGGCCUGGCUGGGCCAGCACGUGACAUACUGCCACAUGACUCUGUUAAAUAGAGGAAGACACAAGGUCACGGACUAACUGCCUGAGUCCAGCAAGGACCUCUGCCUCUGAGAGGAAGCUCUCAUACAUACUUUUUUUAAAAAAGAAAAAGAACUUUUUAUUUUGCAUUGGGGUACAGCCAAUUAACAAACAAUGUGGUGGUAGUUCCAGGUGAACAGAGAAAGAACUAGGCCGUACAUAUACAAAUAUCCAUUCUCUCCCAAACACCCCUCCCAUUCAGGCUGCCACAUAACACUGAGCAGAGGUCCAUGGGCUUUGCAGCAGGUCCUUGUUGGUUAUCCAUUUUAAAUAUAGCAGUGUUUUGCACACACCUUUUCAAUCCACUGCUGAUGCCAACUUUUAAAGCAGUUCAUGUUCAUGGUGAUCUACCUAAUUUAAUGUUUUUAUAGAUCUAUGCAUAUUCAAAGACUUUACUUUUUUAUCUGACCGCUUUCCAUAAAUAACAAGUAUUCCCCCCCAAUCUGCAGAAAAAUGAAAUAACAAAGACAUAUAAAACUUUCACUUGAGAGAAUUUGGCUAUGUAAACUUAUGAUCCUAUUGUAUUUCCAUACAAAUGAUACUGUGAUCUUUUCUGAGCUAGGAUAACUAUUAUAAUAAUAAACUAAGUGUAUCUUUAUGACAUAAGGUGUUGGGUAGCAUAGUAUAAAUAUUACCUACUAUUAGCAGAUGAUGCUCUCAUUUUUGUGUACAAAGACCCACACUUUCCUUUUUCAACAAUACAGAUAUCUUGCCCUGGUAUUUAUUUUUUUAAAGAGGAGAGAGUACAUUUCUUGGAACUUCCCCACAGCAUUGUCCCAGUACAAAAACACUUCUAUUUCUUCCUCACAAUCCACACAAAGCUAAUUGACCUAAAAGGUAAAAAAGCCAGGCCUAAGCAAGCCUCCUUUAUCUAAUGGAUAAAUUCACUAAGAAAAAUGGGGGGCAGAGAAUGAAAAGUACAUAGCAAUAACCCAACUGAAGGAUCACAGAGAGAAAGAGUCUAAAAGAACCUUAGAGAUUAGCAGGUCCAUGAAUAAUUCCAUGGUUAAAGUACCAACGAAAAGAGCCAUCCAGUUGCAACACUAACCUUAAAUUUAAUGAGCCAGUUGUGACCAGUGACGUUUCUGCUAUAUCUGCCUUUAGCACUAGGUGCUGCUCUACUGCUAUUUAUAGAUCAGCUUUUCUUUGAUGCACAGCAGGAGUUGAACCUCCAAAUUUGAGUUCCAUUCUGCAAAUGCUGAGUCUAAGAGUAUACACUGUUACUGUAUGAUAUGUUAAGUUGAACAAACUUCAUUUAAAAGGUGUAGCUAUUGCAUACUGAAUCUACUGAAACAGCCACUCUGGAAAAAAGUGAUCGAUACAUGCCAGGGAAAGGCUACUCCAAAGUUAAAUUUUUCAAAUUGUCCUAAUUCAAAUAUUUACUUAAACUCUGUUUUUAUAUUAUGUGCAGUACAAGGGGAAUGACAUUG